rnacentral:lncRNA from 1 species
AUGAAAAGAACUGAUAAGAGGCUAUUGGUGAAGCCUAACUGCAGUGGAAAACAGCAGUGUUUUGGAGAUGAAAGUAUCAUGAGAAGACCACCAAGAAUUGCAGAGCAGCGGAGUACAGCCAGCUCGAGCCUAGAAGUCAAGGGAUUACAGCUAAAUAUGGCUGAUGAUAAUUCCUCCCAUCCAGGAGCAAUCACAACAUCUUCUAGCACUAUGAAAGCACGUAGAUCAAUGCAGAAGAGGGUUCAGAAAGAUUUUGUCCUAACUGACUGGUACUGUUGUCUCACAAUCAUCAACCGCACAGCACCCACUCGAUUUUUAACAAAAGCAAUUAACCUGUUUGUCACGCAGGAGCCAAAAACUAAAAACAAGAAAAUUAUUAAUAAUGGCCCAGCUGUAGCAGAGUGUAGGUGGUCUUUGGGGACAAGCGGAUCUUUGGUGGUGAUCCUUCGGGUCCAACAUUUGGGGCCUCGUCCAGGAUGCAACUCAUCCCCGACCCAUGUACACCAGGGAGCCACAAGACUGAGGUCUUGGCCCUUGGUGGAAUGUCUGGAGUUGAAAAGGGCAACAAGAUAGACAAGCCUGAUAAAAAGGAGAUCUAUCCGGACCUCCAGACUGACCUGCUUCUCUCGGGUCCCCAACCUCCAUACCCUCCCACACUUGCUCCCCAUCCAGCUGUGAUGCCCCAGUCUGUGAGAAUAGCUGUCAGUUCAGUUCAUAUUCAACAUUCUUCAUCUCUAAGGCAAGAAUCAGCAUAUGUAAAAGUUUUCUUUUCUGUAUGGGGAUGUGGGUAUGUUUACCAGAGCGUGUGCCUAUACAUACACAUCAUCAUCGGGUCACAUGGAUCUACAGUUGAAGGCCUUUCAACUGUUCUUUCUACCCUUUCAUCCUCUCCACCACUUGCCUCUCCUCCACUUCUACUAAGAAAAACAGAGGCCACCCAAAGAUAUAAACCAGCCCUGGCAUAUCAAAUUGCAGUAAAACUAGGCUCAACUUCUACUGAGGCUGCCCUAGGCAAAGCCCAAUAG